ACCAGUAAAAUAGUUUAAACCAGAACAAAUGAAUCCUUCAAAUGAUCCGUUUAUACUCAAAUAAACCAAUAUCUAAUUAAACCCAAGCAGUCAAGUGCUAAACUCAUUUACAACCUCAAAGAUUAGACAUCUUCUAAUUUCUCCUCUUCACGAUUUUCCACCCCCUUGCUCUUGUCCUUUUGAUGUUUACCAUCAACUUUGCGGCUUUGUGUCGGUGGUGCUUUCUUAAGUAAUUAAAUGGUCGUCCUACUUGAGCCAAAACAGAGAGGAAUAUGUGUUACCUUGUUCUUUUGUGGCCUACCUUCAAUCAGGACUCUGAUAAAAGCAACAAAAAGAAGAAAGCGAAACAGACAAAGAAGUUGCAGGUAAAUAAUUGCAUGGGCUUGUACUUUGGGAGUUUCUUUACUGCAUCAUAGGACAGCAGCAGAAAACAACGAUCCUAUCAACUACUAACAGAUUAAACUAAAGAUAGAUUGAUAGAAGGAUG
rnacentral:lncRNA from 1 species